UUGCCAAGAAAACCCCAUUGACAGCACUUGCAUGCUAUAGUCCAUGGGGUCACAAGAAGAGUUGGAUAGGACUGAAGGCCUGAAGAGAUAGGCUUCUUCUUCAUCAGACGCUAGAGGAAAGGAGAGAAUGGAUGAUAAUGUCAAGGGGUUUGGGGAGGUAGAGAAGGGGAGAAGAGUGAGCUUUCUGGAAGAAUAGCCUCUCUUGUCUCAAUAAUGAUGAGGUCUGGUCCUCAACUGAGAGGACACAUGGGAGGCUUAAGGGAGAAGAAGGUCUGGAAGAUCUCACUGUACCCUCCAUUAGGGGAAGUAACAAGUACAUAGUAAGUCAAUGUAAAGCUGAGGGGGAGAGCUAACACACUGGAUGUCAGAAUCAGUCAACCAACAAGCAUUCAUGAAGCAUCCAUGUGUCAGGCAAGUUUCAUAAAGACUAUGACAGGCUGGGAGGGGGGGAGCUGCAGCCUCAAGGCAGCCUUUGGACUGAGUCCAAGUUUUACAGAACAAAUCCUUUUACUAAGGGAACUAGUUCUGUGAACUUUGGGUUCAGUCAACAGGCCAUACUUGAGGACCGAGGGGGGCAUAUAUGGCCCACCCCGGGAUAGAGCAUUUGCCAGUUCUAAUAAGAUGAGUUUCAACAGUCUACAUUGCAGAGCUGGUGUCUGAGGGCCUGAAUGCCUGAGAACCAGCAGCAGGAACUGGAGAUGGGGCCAAGGAAGAAGUCUCUCUGGAUCCCAAAGUCUCUAAGUUUGACACCAACUCCAGUAGAAUGUGGGUCUCUUCUACACAGACUCAUAAGAACCUUCAAGUAAGUGACAGUAAACAUGGGAAAUGUGAAAUACACUGCUAUACUGGACAGUGGAUCCCAGAUGACCAUUGUGGUCCAGGUUUUCACUAAGAGACACUUUAAAAAAAAAUUCCAGCAGCAGCUAUGAAAGGGUCAAUUCUUUGGACAAGGCAGCCAGGACUAACCAUCCCUGGCCUACAUGAGAUGGUAAGGAGGUCACUAGCAUUGAUGGGUAAGAGGAUCCUAUUGACCCAGAGAAUACGGGUUCUGACAUCUCCACAUUGUCUGCAACUGGCUCUACUUAUUCAAGAUGUAAGAUGCAAUCAAAAUAAUUUUUUUUAAAAAAUUUUAAAAAAAGAUGUAAGAUGAAUACUAUAAAUGGCUAGCUGGGAAUCCAUACCAGAAUGUUUGGCUCUCCCUCAUUUGCUCAGAAACAUAAAAGAAAAUAAAGCAAGAGGUGGCAGAAAAUGCCUUUCACUAACUACAGGAUAGGGCCAAAGACACUUAUCUCCAGUGACUGCCCAGUGACUGAGAAUGGAAGAUUGGCAUGACCAGAAAUUCGGCCCUAGCAUGCCUUCAGAUGGGUUCACUGGCAGGUCCAAUGAUACCUGCCCUGAUCCAGUCUGUCAUCAGGAAGCCAGUCAGCAGUGUAACAUGGUUGGGGCAGGGGGAGGUUGGCAAGAGAAGAAGGAAGUGGGGAUCGUACUCAUAGCUUAGCCCAGGGCCAAAGCCAGCAUCAUAACUGCUAGGCUGGCUGAGUUCCCAUGGCUCACACUGCCGGACUAGAUUGAAGACUCCACUCCCUCCUAUUUAUUGGAAGCUGCAAGGCCUGAGAGAUGGGGUGGGGAGUUGGGAGCAGGGAAGCCUUAAGGCCCUUUCCCCCCCAUCAGAUGGUCUCACUGACUGUGAAGGAGUCAGCUUCCUUGUCAGACAUGACUGCAACAAAAACUCUGGCCAUAGCUGACUCUGCCCCUUUUACUCAUGUCAAUAAUGCCAACUACACAUUCAAUGGAAAAAGGCUCUUCUCUGCCACACGGUAGGCCAACAGAGAGCCAAUUGUGUUCCAAGUCUCCAGUCUCUAGAAACAGCUUCCUAAUAUCUUCUGUGUAGAUGACACCAUCUUGGCAAGCUGAUGUCUUCACAUGUGCCAGAGCCCCCAACCUUGCACUCACACUUAUUAAGCACCUACUAUGUGCCAGGUACCACGCUUAAUACUUUGGAUCAGUGGAAAGGCAAAUACAGAACCUGCUGUCAAGGAGCUCACCAUCUAAAGGGGAAACCAACUUGCAAACAUCUCCGUUGCUGUUGGUCAGUUGUGUCUGACUCUUCAUGAGGACGUUUGGGGUUUUCUUGGCAGACACUAGGCUGGUUUGCCAUUUCCUUCUCCAGUGGAUUAAGGCAAACAGAGGUUAAGUCAUGCAAUCCAGUCAAGACGGUAUUUCCUAUUUUACUGGGCAGUAUCUGAUCACUACUAGCAUUUUUCCACUGGUCCAACCCAUCAGGUCUGGGCCCUCUGCUAAUGGUGGCUGGCUUGACUCUCCAACUGUUGAAUCCUGACUCUUUUGGCUUGACAGCCAAAGCUUCUGCUGUUAGCCAUUGAUACUGCAGUGGCCUCAACCACCACUUCCAGGCCAGCGGCCUUCCAGGAAUCCAUAAGGUCACUUCCAGGUCUUCUGACUCAACAGCCAGUUUGGACACUCUUUGCCACUUGCCACUGAGGACCCUUGAGUGGCUGCAAGUUGGGUUCAUCUAAGGUUCCAUGUGGUCAACAAGAACCAGCUGUACAUGGUCUAUGCACCCCACCAGGCAGGACCCACCUGAAGACAACUCAUGGCUCUGCUCCACUCACAUGAGGAUACCUUCUUAAUGUGUCAUCACAGAAAUUUCAGCCAUGUGGAUCCUGCCUCCACUGACAGAGAUCUGAAGCCCUUAAUAGGUUAAGAAAUGGCUUCCUGGGCAGAGAAUCACAAAACACCAAGACUGUUCUUCCUCUAACCUUUUUUUUUUUUUAAAUUAAUUUUAUUUUGUUCAAUCAGCAAAAGAAAUAUGCCUUCUCUGGACUCCAGAAAUACCUGGAAAGACUUAUGUGAAGCAAUAUUGAGUGAAGUGAGCAGAACCAGAAGAACAUUGUACACA